GGUGGCUCCCGGUCGUUGGAGGGGGUUCUGUACUGCCGUCUUGGAGAUGAGCUGUUUAUUUUCUCCAAACGCUCUUGCCGUGAGACCUGGAAUGGUCAGUAAACCCGUUCAGGAGAAAAGGAUUAAGUGAAGUGCAGGAAAGACCAAAGUGACCGACCCAAGGAAUGGCCUAUGAUGGGAAGGAACUUGGAUAUCCUGUAUUCAACUCCCAUUAAAGAAAAACUAACAAAAGAACAGGACAGCAACUUACCUGGGAUCUAACAGGAACUCAGAAGAAGAAAGGCAUUCAUACUUGGUGUAUGUAGUGGCAGUUGAACUGAAUACUUCCCUUUAACUGACAUCUAUCAAACUCACCUUGUUCCUUAGCAACCUCAGAUAAUUUGGGUUUCUUGACCCCACAACAGCCUGCUGCCAACUUGGGCUCAAGGGGAGGAACACAACGUCUUUUUCCCAUCCUGAUUUGGUGUUUGUAAUCUGGAAUGCUGCAGAACCCUAACCCAAAAGAGAGCAGGAUGUAAAACUCCAAACUACUGUUCCUGUGUCAUGCCUGUACUUCUGCACCAAGAUCAUCAUGGAUUAAUCCUCUAAAACUGUAAGCAAGUCCCCAGUCAAAUACUUUCUUUUAAAAGAGUUGCCUUGGGCCAGGUGUGAUGGAGCACUUGGGAGGCAGAGUCAGGCAGAUCUCUGUGAGUUCAAGAACAUCCUGGUCAAAA